ACCCACAGGGAUUGCCUUAGUAACGGCGAGUGAAGCGGCAAAAGCUCAAAUUUGAAAUCUAGUACCUCCGGUGCUCGAGUUGUAAUUUGAAGAUAGUUUUCUGGUACUGGCCCUUGUCUAUGUUCCUUGGAACAGGACGUCAUAGAGGGUGAGAAUCCCGUCUGAUGGGGUGUCCAGUGCUUUGUAGAUUUCUAUCGAAGAGUCGAGUUGUUUGGGAAUGCAGCUCUAAGUGGGUGGUAAAUUCCAUCUAAAGCUAAAUACUGGCGAGAGACCGAUAGCGAACAAGUACAGUGAUGGAAAGAUGAAAAGAACUUUGAAAAGAGAGUGAAAAAGUACGUGAAAUUGUUGAAAGGGAAGGGUAUUGGAUCAGGACUUGGUGUUUUGUGAUUAUCUUCCCUUCUUGGGUUGUGCACUCGCAUUUCACUGGGCCAGCAUCGGUUCGGAUGGCAAGAUAAUGGCUUGGGAACGUGGCACUCUUCGGAGUGUGUUAUAUCCCUUGUUGAUGUUGCCUAUCUGGACCGAGGACUGCGGCUUCUGCCUAGGAUGCUGGCGUAAUGAUUCAAUACCG
rnacentral:rRNA from 1 species